GCGCGCGAUGGUGGGCUCAGAACGGUCGGAAAUCGUUCGCUGAGUGCAAUGGCAUAAGCCUGCCUGACUGCGAGACUGACAAGUCGAGCAGAGACGAAAGUCGGUCAUAGUGAUCCGGUGGUCCCGUGUGGAAGGGCCAUCGCUCAACGAAUAAAAGGUACGCUGGGGAUAACAGGCUGAUACUGCCCAAGAGUCCAUAUCGACGGCAGUGUUUGGCACCUCGAUGUCGGCUCAUCACAUCCUGGGGCUGGAGCAGGUCCCAAGGGUAUGGCUGUUCGCCAUUUAAAGUGGUACGUGAGCUGGGUUUAAAACGUCGUGAGACAGUUUGGUCCCUAUCUGCCGUGGGUGUAGGAAUGUUGAGAGGAGCUGACCCUAGUACGAGAGGACCGGGUUGGACGAAUCUCUGGUGGACCUGUUGUGGCGCCAGCCGCAUUGCAGGGUAGCUAUAUUCGGACGGGAUAACUGCUGAAAGCAUCUAAGCAGGAAGCCUCCCUCAAAACGAGCAUUCCCUUGAGAGCCGUGGAAGACCACCACGUUGAUAGGCCGGAUGUGGAAGCGCAGCGAUGUGUGAAGCUGACCGGUACUAAUAGCUCGAUUGGCUUGAUCGU
rnacentral:rRNA from 1 species